rnacentral:lncRNA from 1 species
AGAAAUGAAUCAGACUUUCUGUCACUAACUGCGGUCAAACGGUAGGAGGCGCCAACUCUCAGACUGUUGAGCGCUUAUGUGACCCUCCCCCAACCCUCAAACGAGGCAUUGAUACCGUCAUCAUCCAUUAUCAGCGAGCUUGCUCAUGUCUUCGGUAUAGUUGCGCUUUGGAGGAACUUCAUCGUUCGAUACCUUGCGAAUCAACCAAAGACUGAUCCCAAAACGCACUGCUGUUCUUCCUGUCCAAAAUGGUGAAGAUAUUUGUUGGCAAUGUAGCUUCAGCGACCACAGAAGACGAGCUCCGUGCUUUGUUUGAGAAGUACGGUGCCGUGUCCGACUGUGACAUUCUGAAAAACUAUGGCUUCGUGCACAUGGAUGAGGAAGAGGCGGCGCAGAAAGCCGUCUCCGCUUUGCACAAGCAAGAGGUCAACGGCUCCCGCAUCACCGUCGAGUACGCCACCACCAAGGCAAAUGAACUUGCUAUGGUGUUCGAAGUAAUGUUGGAUGUAAGUGAGACCAGUGGGAAAGAACAGAGAGGAAAUGGUUAAAGAGGUUGUUGUGGGCGGAGCUGUGUGCUAACUGACUGAUCAACCAAUCACAUCCUACCGGCUAACCGAGCACAUCGCAUCUACCAGCCGUUCAACUUUCGGAUCCGCUGCCGCAUCCUAGGAUAAAGCACCACCGGUCAAAGGAAGCGAACGACCGACCAGCCGCCAACCGCAAAAUAAAUAAAAAAACAACACUGAAUCA